rnacentral:tRNA from 1 species
CAAAAUGUAGCUUAAUUAAAGCAUUUCGCUUACACCGAAACUAUAUCUGUGAGACUCCGAUCAUUUUGA